rnacentral:tRNA from 1 species
GGCAGACUGGCUUGGUGGGUAGAGCAUGUGACUCUUGAUCUCGGGGUCGUGAGUUCAAGCCCCACGUUGGACA